AGAAAAGACCUCCUGCUGUGCUGCAUUCAAUAUCUACACCAGACAUCAGAUAGUGUCUGUAAGAUGUUCCCUCUGCGUCACGCUGGAGUCUGGCCUUUGUUUCUCUUCAUCCUGAAAGGUGUCAGCUGUGAAAAACUGACUCCAGACCAGACUGCAGAGUUCAGUGUAGAAGGCAGCACUGUUACUCUGUCCUACAACGUCUCCAGGACAAUAACUGGUUCUGAUCAUUUCUUCUGGUAUCGACAGUAUCCAGGACAAGCACCAGAGUUCCUCCUGUACAUCUCAGGGUUGAAUGUGACAAGAACGUCAGAUUCUCUGAAGUCAGAAACAAGGUUCUCCACUCACCUGUCUGGAGAUGAUGUCAAACUGCAGAUCUCCUCUGCUGCAGUGACAGACUCUGCUGUGUACUACUGUGCUGUGAAGCCCACAGUGACAGGAAACUACACAACUCUGUACAAAAACUCCAGCUGCCAGAAGCCUCCUCUCCUCACUGCUCACCUCAGCUUCUUACCUCCACUAGAGGGCGAUAUAACUCAGUAGGUGUGCGUGAUAGCUGCUGCUGUGAGGAGAACACGUGUCAGACUGAAGGUUGAACCUCAGCGAGUUUCUCCUGUUGAGUUAAACCUUGUUGUGGAGAUGGAACAUCGGCUCUGGAUGAUUCUUGCUGCUCUGGUCUUUAGUAAGAAAGAAA